rnacentral:rRNA from 1 species
AACGAACGCUGGCGGCAUGCCUAACACAUGCAAGUCGAACGAGACCUUUGGGUCUAGUGGCGCACGGGUGCGUAACGCGUGGGAAUCUGCCCUUGGGUUCGGAAUAACGGUUAGAAAUGACUGCUAAUACCGGAUGAUGACUUCGGUCCAAAGAUUUAUCGCCCAAGGAUGAGCCCGCGUAGGAUUAGCUAGUUGGUAGGGUAAAGGCCUACCAAGGCGACGAUCCUUAGCUGGUCUGAGAGGAUGAUCAGCCACACUGGGACUGAGACACGGCCCAGACUCCUACGGGAGGCAGCAGUGGGGAAUAUUGGACAAUGGGCGAAAGCCUGAUCCAGCAAUGCCGCGUGAGUGAUGAAGGCCCUAGGGUUGUAAAGCUCUUUUACCCGGGAUGAUAAUGACAGUACCGGGAGAAUAAGCCCCGGCUAACUCCGUGCCAGCAGCCGCGGUAACAC